rnacentral:pre_miRNA from 1 species
UGUUGCCUGGAACUCUUUCCCUGUUGCACUACUGUGGGAGAUACAGCUAGCAGUGCAAUAACGAAAGGGCAUCGGUCUGUCA